GAAUUUUUUAUUAUUCAUUAUAUUUUAUAUUAUUUUAUUCAUUAGAACCAUGUUUAAUUGCCAAGUUUGUGAUGCUAAAUAUAUAUCAGUGUCUGGUUUAAAUAAGCAUUUAGGAACGAAACAUAAAGAUACUGCGAAAAUUAAAAAUGUUAAUUAUUGUAAUGACUGUGAUGCAUCAUUUGAUUUGUAGUCCAGUAUAAUAAAAAAUACAAAGGCUCAUUUAUAUGGUCAGCAUAGUAAUAUGUUAUGCUCAUAUACAAAUUGCAUAAAAUCAUUUCCAUCUAUAAAAGGAUUAAUUGUACAUUUAGAAUCUCAUAACAUUAAUAUUGAGCUAACAAUGUUAAAUUUUAACGCUAUAGAAGUGAUUUAGGUUAAAGUAUUUGUUUUUACUUUUGAUGUUUCUGUAGACAUGAAUGUAUUAUUAUUACAACAUUUUUCAUUCCCUACUUGGAAGUAUCGUUCCUCAUAAAAUGUUUGUUCAGUUUUAAUAUUGUUGGUUGGUUUUGUUAUAGGUGAUUUAUAUUUGGUUAACAUUUACUUUGAUUUGGCUGUGAUUGGUUUUUCAUCUAUAUUAUGACUCAGUUAUUAAGAGAAAAUUAAAGAUGAGUGGAGGAUACAACCUUAAUUUGUUAAAACAUUUGUAGCAUAUUUAAGUAUUUACAUUAUUUUAUUGAUGGCGAAAUGGCAAUCAUACUGUUACUGUGGACAUGUAUGUAUUAUCAUACAAUUCUUCACCAAGUUUGACAGCCACUACUGGAAAGUGUCGUUCCUUAUAAAAUGUUUGUUCAGUAUUAAUAUUGUUUAAAUGUUAUAGGUCAAAUAUUAACAUUUCUUGUGAUUUGGCUGAAAAUAUUGGUUUUUACUUUUGAUGUUACUGUGGAUAUAUUUUAACAAACGGAAAAAAAAUAUAGAAGAUGAAGAAGAGUACCACUUUGUCAAGUUGUCAUCAAAAGAAAAGUUUAAACAAAGAGUAUGUAUACUAUUUUUGCCACAGAUAAUUUAGACCAAGAACUUCAAACAAAGAACACAAAUGUACAAAAAGUGGUGGAUCCGUGAAAACUGGCCAUAUUUGCCCUUCUAACAUGAAAGUACACAUGGAAAAUAAACAAAUUAAUGUACAAUAUUAUAGUACAUACUUAUGGCAUACGAAGGAUAUAGGAAAACUAAGAUUGUUCAAUGAAGAUAGGAGUAAGAUUGCUGGAAAAUUAUCCUUGGGUGUUCCAGUCAAUAGAAUUUUGCAAGAUGUUCGAUCAUCAAACGUUGAGAUGGAUAGUAUUAAAAAAAUUCAUUUGCUAGAAAAAAAAAUAUAUACAAUAUCAAGCAUGACUUAAAUAUUUCAUACUUGACAAAAAAACACCAAAAUGAUGCGAUAAGUGUAGAUCUUUGGGUAAAAGAAAUGAUGAAAAAAGGUGAUGAAAGUCCAAUUUUAUAUUAUAGGUAACAAGGAUUUAAUGAUAAUUGUGUUCCAUGCUUCACUAUGAAUGAUUUUUGUCUUGUAAUAAUGACUCAACUUCAGUCUGAGCUAUUAUUAAAAUUUGGAAAGGACAAAGUAUGUUUAGAUGGCACACAUGGACUAAAUGGGUAUAACUUCCAAUUGUACACUGUAAUUGUAGUAGAUGAAUACGGAAAUGGAUAUCCCGUAGCUUUUUGUUUCGAUCUGACACUACCGUAUACAGCCACUUUUUUCGGUGUAUCAAAAAUAUAACUGGUAAUAAUAAUGCAAACAUUUUUAUGUCUGAUGACGAACCAGCAUUUUACAACGCAUGGAAUGCUGUAAUGGGACCUGCAGGCAAAUUGUGUACUUGGCAUGUAUUAAGGAACUGGGAAAAAAAUUUAAGAAAGAUUCACUUGAAUGAAAAACAAAAUAUUGUAUUCAAAACUUUAAAAGCUUUAUUAUACAAAACAGACGAAAACAAUUUUUUGAUUGAGCUGAAGAAGGAAUUAGAUGAUCUUCUAAAAUCUAAAUGUUGAAGAUACAGCAGAUUUCGGAAGUACUUUAAGACUACAUAUUCACAGAGAGCAGAAAAGUGGGCCUAUUUUAAUAGAAAACAUGUUGGUACUAAUACUAACAUGUACCUUGAAGCACUUCAUAAAUCUAUAAAAUAUUGUUAUUUAGAAGGCAAAAGCUGCAAAUAUUUAGAUUUAUCGAUUAAUGCCCUAAUGUCAUUGGUGAGAGACAAAAGUUUCGAAAGAAUUGUUAAAAUUUCAAAACAAAAAAUGUCUUAUAAACUAACAUAAAUUAUGGCAGCUCGCAAUAAAAGUACAAAAAUUACACCGGAUAUGGUUGUUGAAGUUAAUGGUAAUUGGUUGGUUAAUUCCGAGACAGACAUAUAUAUUCAAUAUAACGUUAGGAAAAAAAAUAGAUUUUAAAAAAACAUCAAACUUAGAAAUGAAGAGAAGAAGAAAAAUUGAACCGCAAGCAAGAUUUAUUUAAAAAAAAAAAGUACCAAAUCAACAUCUAUCAACCCUAUCAUCAAUUGAGGGUACACAAAUUAGAGGGUCAUUGAAAAAUUCCACUGAAUUUUUAACUAUAAGUACUAUACCAGCGUUUGAUCAUUCUUACUUGUAAACAAUAUUUAAUUAUUUAAUUAUGAUUAAUUUUAACAUUUAUUAUUUUAUGAUUUAUUUUUUUUGACUUAGAUAUGACGAUAUUAAAUUUAAAAUUUUUUAAAACGUAAAACUUAUUUGAAAUUAUUAUUACUAUAACUAGACUGUAUGUUUGUAUUGACAAUUUUUUAUAGCUUGAAACUUAUUUUAAAUUAUAAUUCUUAUUAUUGUAUUGUGACAAAUUUUUAAAACGUAGUUAAAAAUUAUAAAAUGUUCAAUUUUAAUAGCUAAGGAUUGAAAAUUUAAAACAACGAUAGUAAUAUACUAAUAUAUUAUAAUAAGGCAUAAAUACAUAA